GAUGAACGCUGGCGGCGUGCCUAAUACAUGCCAGUCGAGCGAAUGGACGAGAAGCUUGCUUCUCUGAUGUUAGCGGCGGACGGGUGAGUAACACGUGGAUAACCUACCUAUAAGACUGGGAUAACUUCGGGAAACCGGAGCUAAUACCGGAUAAUAUUUUGAACCGCAUGGUUCAAAAGUGAAAGACGGUCUUGCUGUCACUUAUAGAUGGAUCCGCGCUGCAUUAGCUAGUUGGUAAGGUAACGGCUUACCAAGGCAACGAUGCAUAGCCGACCUGAGAGGGUGAUCGGCCACACUGGAACUGAGACACGGUCCAGACUCCUACGGGAGGCAGCAGUAGGGAAUCUUCCGCAAUGGGCGAAAGCCUGACGGAGCAACGCCGCGUGAGUGAUGAAGGUCUUCGGAUCGUAAAACUCUGUUAUUAGGGAAGAACAUAUGUGUAAGUAACUGUGCACAUCUUGACGGUACCUAAUCAGAAAGCCACGGCUAACUACGU
rnacentral:rRNA from 1 species